rnacentral:rRNA from 1 species
GAUGAACGCUAGCUACAGGCUUAACACAUGCAAGUCGAGGGACCGGCGCACGGGUGAGUAACACGUAUCCAACCUGCCCUUUACUCGGGGAUAGCCUUUCGAAAGAAAGAUUAAUACCCGAUAUAAAGGAUGGGGAUGCGUUCCAUUAGGUUGUUGGUGAGGUAACGGCCAACCAAGCCUUCGAUGGCUAGGGGUUCUGAGAGGAAGGUCCCCCACAUUGGAACUCGGACACGGGCCAAACGCCUACGGUAGGCAGCAGUGAGGAAUAUUGGUCAGUGGGCGUUAGCCUGAACCAGCCAAGUAGCGUGAAGGAUGAAGGCUUAUGGGUCGUAAACUUGUUGUAUAUAAGAAUAUGUAUUAGAUGAAUAAGGAUCGGCUAACUCCGUGCCAGCAGCCGCGGUAAUUC